rnacentral:rRNA from 1 species
UGGGGAAUAUUGCACAAUGGGCGCAAGCCUGAUGCAGCAACGCCGCGUGAACGAUGAAGGUCUUCGGAUCGUAAAGUUCUGUUGCAGGGGAAGAUAAUGACGGUAUCAUAGGAGGAAGCCCCGGCUAAAUACGUGCCAGCAGCCGCGGUAAUACGUAUGGGGCGAGCGUUGUCCGGAAUUAUUGGGCGUAAAGGGUACGUAGGCGGUCUAUUAAGUCAGGUGUGAAAGCGUGAGGCUUAACCUCAUUAAGCACUUGAAACUGAUAGACUUGAGUGAAGGAGAGGAAAGUGGAAUUCCUGGUGUAGCGGUGAAAUGCGUAGAUAUUAGGAGGAAUACCGGUGGCGAAGGCGACUUUCUGGACUUUUACUGACGCUCAGGUACGAAAGCGUGGGGAGCAAACAGG